rnacentral:pre_miRNA from 1 species
GAAACACUCUUAUGGAGCAGGACUUGCUUCAAUGGGGCUUUGGUGCUCACUGAGUCUGUACUUUGAGUGUGUCACU